CAGCAAGAGAAAAAUGUGCUAUGUCAGUCCUUGCAGAGAACCAGGAUGGGCCUCCAGUGGAGAUAAUCCAGUGCAGUUUGCCUUAGGCACCUCUUCUGUCCUCCAUGACCUUUCAAAGAUGAUGGAGAGUGGCCCAGCAAGAACACCUGCCAGCUCCUUCAGCACUCGUGGAUGUAUCGCAUCAGGGCCCAUGGAAUUGUGAGCAUCCAGUUUGCACAGGUCUCCUGGCUCCUUUGCCUGACUUCUUCCUCCUGGGGAUGCACCGAUCUUGAGCUUGGAGGAAGUGGACCUUGAAAAUUGACCAGCUCUUUUGGACCCCAUCCAAGAUGCAUAGCUGCAUGGCAGUGAUCUCCCCUUGAGCAAGGACGUGUCUCAAAGUUGCUCCUCAAGGCAGAGAGACCUUUUACCAAUGGUAAUCUUGAGUAAGGAACUAAUAGCAUGUAUAAAUUUGUAGUAUGGCAAGUUUAAUUUGUGACUUGGUAACUUUGAUUUGUGACUUGGUAGAUUUGAUUUGUGUCUUGGUAGUUUUGACUAUUAUUCAAAUGAUUGUGCCAUACAGAAAUAGAGUGAACCUUGCCAUUGAAAUUUAAGUUGCACUUUUACUUAUAUUAUAGCCACUUUUGCAAAUACCUUUGACAGCAGUUCUUUAAGCUAAAUCACUCGUUCACAACAGUGUGCUACUUCAUUAUGACACCACAACGCUGCAUUAUACUCUGCACACAGACAAAAACCUAAGAACAAUAACAACAAAAAAUUCCAGUUCCCUUGCAGAAUUAUUCUACUGUGCAAUGACACUCUUCUGUUUUAAAGAUAAUUUAUGAUAACGGCCUUCUAGUCUUUCUUGAAUGAGGUUCACUAAGGUCUAGCAGACUUCAAUAGAAUUUUUGUAAUUUCCAUAAUGUUAUAUAUUUUGGAUCCAAAAAUUAGCUGCUAAUGUGACAGAAAUAUUAACAAGUUACAGCUCAUAUCUUCAGUCUUAUUACUGUACCAUAUUAUGCUAUAAUAUUUUUUCCCACAAAUUCAUCAUUUUUCCUCUCUCCACUGCUAUGUCAUGAAAUUCACAAGAUUAAAAAUAAAGUCUAUAUCAAUUCAGAAAAAAAUAUCUUAACCUUCUAUUAAAUUGGCUUUAAUUUCUUUCUCUACUCUCCCAGUUAUUGGUCUAUUAUUUAACAUAUUAUCUGUAUUAUACUCUUAUUAGAGUGUGUAGGUAUGGUUCAUGAACACAUGCUUUUUGUGGAUCUAUUUCUUUGUGGGUUUUCUUCUAAUGCAGAUGCCAGUCCUGCAGACAGAACACACACAUCCAUGCACAUGCACUCUUGAUUUAUUUGAUUAGCUUUUCUAGCCUCCCAGCUAUUCAUAUUCCAAGUACCUCUUUGCUUUCUUAGACUGGGGACAGUAAGACACAUUUGGAUAUGAUUAGGCUUUUUAAAAAUAGAUUCCAUAAUAAACAAAUGUAAAAGGCAUAUUUUUUUCUCUGCAAAGGGGGAAAGACUGAUUCUGUUCAAAGUUUCCAGAAUGGAAACUUUUUCCAAUAAACAUAGAAGCCAGACUGAAUAAAUCAACUGGUCUUCAUCUUUUUGCUUAGUACUUAAUGUAUUCCUCCUGUGUUUGUAUGAUAAAGACCAUUUAUUGGGCAUCAGUACCAAAAUUAUACCAGUUUUGAUGUUGGAUCCUAAGACUGUCAUCUAGUAAGAAACAAACAAAGAGUAUCUGUGAGCAGCUGACCAAUAAAUUGGACUUCAUCACAAAUUCAAUACCAUCCAGCGAAGCAUUGGGAUAUUGCUGGCUUCAAUUUAUGAAAAAGGAUUUUUACAGACAGUGUGCCAAUCAUCCAAAAGGAUGGUUGAAAAUUACUGUUGGAUUGGCAUAUUAAUGAUCACAGGAGACCAAUGUAAAUGUCAUGAACUAUUGGGAAAGAAUAAACUGAGCAUUAAUACUACUCCUCAUCUGUUCCCAGUGUGCACAGAUAAAAAUUUUAUCACAACAAACAGCAUGGUACUUUGCAUGAAUUAUUAAAUCAUAUGCAUACAAGAGGGUUCAUAAUUAAACAGAAAGACUUACUGAGGAUUAUCAUAACUGACAAUGUCUAGAGCCUGCAAAGUCCAGCUAUAAGUCAAGAGACUAAUGUGUAUGAUUGCUUUUAAUUUGUACAACAAUUUGUGCGUUAUUAACUUAUAACACUUUUAGAUAUUUCCACAGGGGAGUAGAAUGUACAAUUAGUCUUUCAGUAUGUGUAUGUCAAACAUGAAUAAUAAAUAUUGAACAUAUAGCAUUAUUUAUAUGCAAUCACUUUUAUCUGUCAUAAUACAAAUAACUUCAUUACAAUUAGCUAUUUAAUGCAGAAAUUCAGUUUAAACUAAAUGUUGUCCUUUGUGCAUUAUUAUGUAUGAGCCCUUCUAAUUUGCCUUCUGUUUUACAUUUUUAGGCACAGAAUCACAUGCUUGCAACUCCCAAGGGCUUAUUUUGUAUUUCAGUGAUGAACAAUUCAGCCUUAAGUUUCAGGAUCCUAACUGGACACUCAGCCAUUGCAGGGCUGGAGAAUUUCUGCAGCAUAUGUGGCAUAACCACACACCUGGAGAAUUUUGUCUUUUUACUUUGAAGUAGCCUCGUAGGCAGAACAUUGAGAAUUGGACAGAAGGCUGAUUGUGCACAUCUCCGUGAUGGGAAGGUGAAGAAGAGGGACAGUACAGCAGCAAGAAAAAGAAAAAAUCAAAACAAAACCCAACAAGAAUGACAACAAGAACAAAGGCAACCCUAUCCAAAGAUCCAUACCUGACAUGCAUCUGUGAGAGGUGGAGUCCAGAUGGCUAAUCAUAGGCUUCUAACAGAUUUUCAGCUCAAGCAAAGAUCUAUGAGACUUGAGCUAAUUAAGCACCUUAGGUAAACAGGGCUGAAGCGGUAUGUUUCUCACACAAUCAUUACGUGAAUAAUAUAUUUAUCUAAAGGCAAAGAGAAGGAGAACAUCCCAGGGAGAGGUAGGGAAGUUUCCUAGGACACCUGCAGAAACAGGAAGACCAAGUACUUUGUGCGAACCGCUACAAUCUUGUCAGGCCUUAAAGCAAGGUUGCAAAAAGACAGAUUUUGGGCCUAACUGUGUUGGGAAGUAAAUGAAAGGUAGAAAACUACUGACUGUUACAAGACUUCAAGAAGUGAUGGAGAACUAUGCUGGGAAACAGCUGUCAGAGGAGCAGUUAAAAUGAAAAGAGAAGUCAGAUCCACAGACUCUGCUUGCUAAUGUUCUCAUAAUCACAGUGCUGUGUCUAGGUUCAUAAGAUCAAACCCUUCCUGAUGCAGAAAACAACAACCAUUUGAGAGGGAGAGAUCACAAAAUUGUUGAUGUGGACAUGCCCAUGAGACUUUUCAAAUGUUGUUGAUGAUGAGAGAACAGAUUCACACUACAAAAUGAGCUCCUUAUUGACAUCCCAGCUCUUCCUCACUUCCUUGCCCUCUCUUGCAUUCAAAGCCAGAAAAGCAGGUUUUGAAGAGUCACCACAGGGGACUGGGAAGAAACUGUCUUUCCCAACAAUCCAUUACAAGAUAGCCUGAGGCGACUUUCUUAGGUCAAAUGAAAUCAGGAGUCCAAGGAUCUAUGGUUCAGUUCUGCAUCAUAUACACUUUAAAAAUGUAAUAUAAUCUUAUUUUGGCAAGUGAAAAAAACAUGACCAGCUGUAUAUUUCCUGUGUCUUGAUUUCUUUUAAAUCAAAAGGCAAGAUUUCAAUGUCAUAAAAGGGAUUAAUCCUUUUUAAAAGAUUGCAAAACCUCCUGUGUGCACUGCUUCUACGCCAAGCUCAUCUCAAGUUAAUGGGUUUCUCUGUGGUGUGGAUGAUUGGCAUAAAGGGAAAAAGGUAGAAGAUGGAAGAAGGUGAGAAUUAGAUGCCUAGUUUGUAGUGGGUAAAUCCUACUUAUUUGUGUGGGAGAUAAAUUAUACACUCCAGACUAAAAUUUUUGGCUAGAAAACAGCAUAACUGCUAGGACGCAGAUCUUGUGAAUUUUGGAGUUGAUGUAACUACAGCAUGGGAUGCUGUUUUCCCAUCUUUCACAGGCAUCUGCUUUAGGAAACCAUUGCAAUUUACUGUAGGUAAAAUAUCCAGAAGGUGAUAGGACUUAAUGGGAAAUACACCAGAAUUAGACAGUCUCAGAUAGGAUCACAAGGUGAAUAUUGAUGAAUAACACACUCCUCCUUUAUGGACUGACUAUUUACUAUUACAGGAGACAAAAAAAUAUUCAAACUUUAACACCUAUGAAAUGAAAUAAAUGUCUCUUUUUUCUCAGUUAUUUCUUUCUUCCAUCUGUGUCAUGGUUUAACCCCAGCCAGCAAAUAAGCACCACACAUAUGCUUUCU